rnacentral:rRNA from 1 species
CUGGAUUUUCCAUCCUUUGAUGGGGAUAAUCCACAGUUUUGGAGAAGUAGGUGUGACAAAUACUUUGAUGUCUAUGGAGUUCAACCUGAUCUGUGGGUGCGUGUAGCAACACUACAUUUCACAGGGAAUGCAGCUCGCUGGCUGCAGUUGCAGGAAUCACAGAGCACGUCCUUCACUUGGGAGGCUCUGUGCGCUGCGCUGUGUAGCAAGUUUGGCAGGGAGCAGUAUCAAAAACACCUGCGACAGUUUCAUAGUCUUAGCCAAACGAGUACGGUCCAUGAGUACAUGAGUCGAUUUGAGGAGUUGAUGCACCAGAUGUUGGCGCAUAACCCUGGUUUCGAUUCAUUGUAUUUCACCACACAUUUCCUUGAAGGGCUUCGCACUAACAUUCGCGUAGGUGUUAUGUUACAUCAGCCCAAUGAUUUGGAUGCUGCUUUUUCCUUGGCUACAAUGCAGGAGGAGCUGCUGGAGGCGUUGCCCCGGAAGGAAUUUCGGUGA